rnacentral:rRNA from 1 species
CAGCAGCCACGGGAACACGUAGGGUGCAAGCGUUAAUCGGAAUUACUGGGCGUAAAGCGUGCGUAGGUGGUUGUUUAAGUCUGCUGUGAAAGCCCUGGGCUCAACCUGGGAAUUGCAGUGGAUACUGGGCAACUAGAGUAAGGUAGAGGAUAGUGGAAUUUCCGGUGUAGCAGUGAAAUGCGUAGAGAUCGGAAGGAACAUCUGUGGCGAAGGCGACUAUCUGGGCCAUUACUGACACUGAGGCACGAAAGCGUGGGGAGCAAACAGGAUUAGAUACCCCAGUAGUCCCUGUCUCUUAUAU